GGUCAAGAGUUCCAGCGACAAGCCCCGGCUAGCUGGACGGCAACCCUCCUCGCGGUGGGGUGCCCCGGGUGAGGACAAGGCCGGAUCAGGUGUCCGGCAACCGCGGGGC
rnacentral:ncRNA from 2 species